rnacentral:rRNA from 1 species
GACGAACGCUGGCGGCGUGCUUAGCACAUGCAAGUCGAACGGAAAGGCCCUGCUUUUGUGGGGUGCUCGAGUGGCGAACGGGUGAGUAACACGUGAGUAACCUGCCCUUGACUUUGGGAUAACUUCAGGAAACUGGGGCUAAUACCGGAUAGGAGCUCCUGCUGCAUGGUGGGGGUUGGAAAGUUUCGGCGGUUGGGGAUGGGCUCGCGGCUUAUCCGCUUGUUGGUGGGGUAGUGGCUUACCAAGGCUUUGACGGGUAGCCGGCCUGAGAGGGUGACCGGCCACACUGGGACUGAGAUGAGGCCCAGGUUGCUACGGGAGGCAGCAGUGGGGAAGAUUGCACAAGGGGCGGAAGCCUGAUGCAGCAACGCCGCGUGCGGGAUGACGGUCUUCGGGUUGUAAACCGUUUGCGCCUGUGACGAAGCGUGAGUGACGGUAAUGGGUAAAGAAGCACCGGCUAACUACGGG